rnacentral:rRNA from 1 species
CACGUAGGCACCAAGCGUUGUCCGGAUUUAUUGGGCGUAAAGAGCUCGUAGGCGGUUCGGUAAGUCGGAUGUGAAAACUUUGGGCUCAACCCAAAGCGUGCACUCGAUACUGCCGUGACUGGAGUUCGGUAGGGGAGCGGGGAAUUCCUAGUGUAGCGGUGAAAUGCGCAGAUAUUAGGAGGAACACCGGUGGCGAAGGCGCCGCUCUGGCCGAUACGUGACGCUGAGGCGCGAAGCUAGGGGAG